rnacentral:rRNA from 1 species
AUUGAACGCUGGCGGCAUGCUUUACACAUGCAAGUCGAACGGUAACAGGUUAAGCUGACGAGUGGCGAACGGGUGAGUAAUGCAUCGGAACGUGCCCGAUCGUGGGGGAUAACGCAGCGAAAGCUGCGCUAAUACCGCAUACGAUCUGAGGAUGAAAGCGGGGGACCGUAAGGCCUCGCGCGAUCGGAGCGGCCGAUGUCAGAUUAGGUAGUUGGUGGGGUAAAGGCUCACCAAGCCAACGAUCUGUAGCUGGUCUGAGAGGACGACCAGCCACACUGGGACUGAGACACGGCCCAGACUCGUACGGGAGGCAGCAGUGGGGAAUUUUGGACAAUGGGCGAAAGCCUGAUCCAGCAAUGCCGCGUGCAGGAAGAAGGCCUUCGGGUUGUAAACUGCUUUUGUACGGAGCGAAAAGGCUCUCUCUAAUACAGGGGGCUCAUGACGGUACCGUAAGAAUAAGCACCGGCUAACUACGUGCCAGCCGCCGCCGCAG